ACAAAGGUUUUAAUUAAAACCACGCAAAUCAAAUAUUUAAAAAAGU
rfam:Ixodes scapularis strain Wikel colony gcontig_1108379594608, whole genome shotgun sequence.